rnacentral:tRNA from 1 species
GCGGCCAUAGUUUAAUGAUAGAACAAUAGCCUUCCAAGCUAUCGAUGUGGGUUUGAUUCCCAUUGGCCGCUCCA